CCAUCAGAUUUCAUGAGACUUUUUCACUACCAUAUGAACAGUAUGGGGGACACCGCCCCCAUGAUUCAAUUAUCUCCCACCAGGUCCUUCCCACAAUACAUGGGAAUUAUGGGAGCUAAAAUUCAAGAUGAUAUUUGGGUGGGGACACAGACAAAUUAUAUAAUCUUUAUUGAGGUUUAAUUUACAUCUUAAGAUUCACUUAGGUGAACAAUUCAAUGAUUACUAUUAAAUUGACAGAGUUGUACAAUCCUUAACACAAUACAGGUUUUAGAAUAUUUCCAUCAUUCCAGAAUAUCCCUCAUACCCAUUUAUAGUCACUACUGACUCCUACCUCCAAGAACCAGGCAAAUGCUCAUCUGCUUUCUAUGUCUAUAGAUUUGUCAUUUCUGGACAUUUCACAUAAAUGGAAUCAUAGAAUAUGUAGUCAUUUGCAUCUGGUUUGUUUAAUCAGGCAUCAGGUUUUUUAGAUUUACCCAUGCUGCAGUAUGUAUCCAUAGCAUAUUUGUUUGUAAUGUAAAAUAGUAUUCCAUGGUAUGGAUAUAACAUCAUUGGCUUAUCUUUUCACCAAUUGAUGGGCAUUCAGAUUGUUUCUAUUUUUUGGUUAAUAUGACUAAUGCUGCCACAAGCAUUCACAUGCAAGUCUUUACACAGACAUGUUUUCAUUUCUCUUGGGUAGAUAUUUAGGGAUAGAAUUCUUGGGUCAUAUGGUAAAUUUAUGCUUAUCUGCUGAAGAAAUUGUCAAGCUAUUGUGAAAAGCAGCUGCAUGAUUUUACAAUCCCAUCAACAACGUCUAGGGUUCUAGUUUCUCCUAAGGAGUUUUAACGAGACGCAUAAUAUGGCUAGAUUUGUGCUUUAGGUAAAUCAAUCUGGUAGCUACUAAAAAUGAGACUGAAAAUAAUGAGCCUGUUUAGGAAGAUGUUGCAAUAGUCUAGCUGAGAUCUCUACUACGAUUCCCAACUAGACCAUUGGAGGAGAAGAUUAUCUCAGAAGAAGAACAAUGCUGCUGAAUAAGAACAGGUGAUUUGCUUCCAUCAGUUGCUCAGCCUUGGGAACGUGACUCACGGUGGUGUGAGGACAAAGCAGGUACCUGUCCGCCAGCCAGAUUAGCUGAGGAAAAUACACUUCAGACUCAACAUAACCAAUACCUGCCUUUCAAGGAAAACUCAUAUGGGGCUCACUGAUGAAACAAAGCGAGUUUGCAAAAAAAGAUUCGACAUAGUCAAUUCUUUGUACUCUUCAGUGAUGGUAGCUGCCUUAGUGGAAAAUGUGGAAAAUUACAGAUUGGGGUAGGUGAAUUGAAGAUAAAAUUAUUUAUUUUUGUUGUUAUAAACACAAAUUUUGAUAUAAUAUAGCAUCAUGUGUAAAAUAAUUUUCCUAACUAACUUAAGAAAUAUGUGGAACAGAAAUAUUUGAAAUGUGGUGGUGUACAAGGAAGUGAGCUUGAAGAAAAGAGGGUCCCAAAAAUUCAUGUUUUACACCAAGAGAAAUAAAACCAUAGUAGUCACAAUUUAUGAAUAUUUUUACACUUGUAUAUAUAUACUUGUAUAUUUGUGUGUAUAUGUAUUUGCAACUGAAUUAUAAACUUUAAUGAUUAAGCUGAUUUGAAAUAAUUUUAGGAAAUACUUUAGUAUGGCAAUACAUACUUGGUCUUUUUGUUGCCCAUAAUCAAUUAGAUUUGAGAAAUAAUUAACCAUUGAAUAACCUCUUUGCAAAUUUACUUAGUUAUCCUAGCAAAGUAUUAAAUAUUUUGUAAAUGAGUCCUCACAUUUCUGAUUGUAUGUUUUUCAAAAUUGUUGGAAAUCUUUAAACAAAAUCCUGGAGCAUCCAAAUUUCAACUACUAAAGAUUAUAAUUUUUGAGCACCCAUAUUUCAAAUAUGAAAGCUUUUGGCAAAUUGCAUUUAUUGAAAAUAAAGCUUUCAUACAGGAAGAUAUUGAUAGCUCUUAAAAAGCAAGGGAUACAUUGAAUUGAUUAGAUGAUAAGUGGGCAAAUGGUAUGGAGGAUGUAAUUUUGAAAUUCUCUAAGAGCAUAUUGAAAUGUAUUAACUUUCAG
rnacentral:lncRNA from 10 species